rnacentral:tRNA from 1 species
GCCUCCGUAGUGCAGUGGUCAGCAAGCUUGACGCGUAAAACCGAGAGGUCCGUGGUUCGAUUCCCGGCGAAGGCA